rnacentral:rRNA from 1 species
UGCUACAAUGGGUAGUACAGAGGGUUGCCAAGCCGUAAGGUGGAGCUAAUCCCUUAAAGCUACUCUCAGUUCGGAUUGUAGGCUGAAACUCGCCUACAUGAAGCUGGAGUUACUAGUAAUCGCAGAUCAGAAUGCUGCGGUGAAUGCGUUCCCGGGUCUUGUACACACCGCCCGUCAAACCACGGGAGUUGGAGACGCCCGAAGCCGAUUAUCUAACCU